GAUGAACGCUGGCGGCGUGCCUAAUACAUGCAAGUAGAACGCUGAAGGAGGAGCUUGCUCUUCUGGAUGAGUUGCGAACGGGUGAGUAACGCGUAGGUAACCUGCCUGGUAGCGGGGGAUAUCUAUUGGAAACGAUAGCUAAUACCGCAUGACAACAGUUAUUGCAUGAUAACUGUUUAAAAGGGGCAACUGCUCCACUACCAGAUGGACCUGCGUUGUAUUAGCUAGUUGGUGAGGUAACGGCUCACCAAGGCGACGAUACAUAGCCGACCGGAGAGGGUGAGCGGCCACACUGGGACUGAGACACGGCCCAGACUCCUACGGGAGGCAGCAGUAGUGAAUCGUCGGCAAUGGACGGAAGUCUGACCGAGCAACGCCGCGUGAGUGAAGAAGGUUGUCGGAUCGUAAAGCACUGUUGUAAGAGAAGAACGAGUGUGAGAGUGGAAAGUUCACACUGUGACGGUAUCUGACCAGAAAGGGACGGCUAACUACGUG
rnacentral:rRNA from 1 species